rnacentral:lncRNA from 10 species
AGUGGGACCCGACCCUGUCUCCAGUGGGCGUCUUGGGCCCCGGCUCUAUUCUGGGCUGCGGGCCUGGGAAGGGCUCGCCGGGUGCCAAAUGAGCUGUCCUAACUCUGCGGGGCUGCAGCUUCCUGCAUGAUGCUGGGGAGCUUGGCGCCUGACCCAGGAUCUAGAAGGCACUCUGGGCAGGCCGCGCUCCGCCCACGAAGGUACCCAACCCUCUGGGAUAGAUGCAGGAAGCGAUGGUUAAGACCCAUUUUCACCCAACUUCUCGCCGCAGGUCUGGCUUACCACACGCUCCUCCCCAUUCCCAGUGAGCCGCUUUUUGCAGCACCAGGCGAACACUUACACCAGUGCUUUGUAAAGGAAUCUUAUUGUCCACCCCGUGUCUUGGCAAAAGAACAGUGAUCACACAGAUUCCUACUUGGGCUCUUUCCUUUAAUCUUCGGAGGCUGAGUUUGCCCAACUCAGGUUUAACCACCAAGGACUCUGAGAGCUGGCAGGUCUGAGUAACCCUGGUAACAAUUCUCUUCACCUUAUCAAAACCUGAGCUAAAACCAAUGCAUCAGCUGAUGAUGACAGCAGAGAGUGGCAGGGCUGAGGACCCAAAGUCAUUUCCCAGGCUGGCGGAGAGUGAGUAAAUGAGAUUCUAAAACUAAACAAGGGAGGUCAGAGACUCUUUCCAACCUUACCUGAUGGCUUCUGGCCAAAGCAAGGAAGUGUCUUGGAAGGUGUUGGUUGGUGAUGGUGCGAAAAGACACUUGAGAAGGAGGGAAGAAAAAGCAGCGCCCCUUGAUAAAGAUAAACUGCCAGGGAGAAGAAUGAGAAGACAGGAGACAAACUGUUUGGAAAGCUAAAUCUUCCCUCUUAAUGAAUAAAGGUUUUUGCCUUGUCUUAAA